UUCCAGCUGCCUUGGGGUGAGCCAAGCUCUGACAGGAAGGGCUUGCUGUGGAGGAAACCAGAGAAGUCAGAACAAAAAGGUGCCUUCAGGACCCUCUGGAAAAAGCCAAGGUGCUUUGGAAUAUGACAGACACAUCAGGACACAUCAAAUAUGUCACCGGCCAUGCUCAGUGUCCAGCAGAGGGGUUACCUGCAUUUUCUGGAAGUCACUCUGGGUGAAAAAGGGCAUGAAGCCUUGGGUCUGCUCAGCCAGCACGGACAGCAGGGACACCAGCAGCAAAGUGGCCACCACCUUCCUCGAAACCAUCCUGAG